CCCUUAGAUGUUCUGGGCCGCACGCGCGCUACACUGAUGCAUUCAACGAGUCUAAAACCUGGUCUGAUAGGGCUGGGUAAUCUUUUGAAAGUGCAUCGUGAUUGGGAUAGAUGAUUGCAAUUCUUCAUCUUCAACGAGGAAUGCCUAGUAAACGCGAGUCAUCAGCUUGCAUUGAUUACGUCCCUGCCCUUUGUACACACCGCCCGUCGCUCCUACCGAUUGAAUGAUCCGAUGAAUACCAUGGAUUGAGAGUACGAAUGGGUUCGCUCAUUUCUGCUGCUCGAGAAGUGGAGUAAAUCUUAUCAUUUAGAGGAAGGAGAAGUCGUAACA
rnacentral:rRNA from 1 species